UGCUGCUAUGCCAAGCUGGCAGCGCGGCGGUGCCGCCCGGGAGCGCUGCAGCCGCUCUCGGCUCCCCGGGCAGGGAUCCCCGCCUGCAGCUCGGGCUCGUGGUGCCAGCGAGGCGCCUGCAGGUGCGAGCGGGCGGCGCGGCUGUGCCGGGCUCGGCUCCGCCGCCGCUGCCGGGGACGGGCCGGGAGGUGCUGAAACAAAAACUCCCUUGGCCAAACCAUCUCCGGGGGAUGAUCCGACAAGGGACGGCGCAGGCAGAGCUUCCCAGCCCUGGUGAGUCUCCUCCUCGGAGCCUUUUGGUGAUGCGAGGAGGGGGAAGCAGAGCUGACGUGAUGUUCCAGCACAGCAAAACAAGGGAGGGGUGGAUGGACACCUGCCCCUGGUCCCGGUGAUGGGAAACGUCUCCCUUGGCAGCCUGGCCGCUCCCUCUGCUUCCUGCUUCAAAUUCCCUCCUGUUGCUCCAAAAUAAAAGCAGAGAGCCCAAAGCA